rnacentral:rRNA from 1 species
CGCUGGCGGCACGCCUAAUACAUGCAAGUCGAACGCUGAAGCACUCUGCUUGCAGAGUGCGGAUGAGUGGCGAACGGGUGAGUAACACGUGGGAAAUCUGCCUAGGAGUGGGGAUAACAUUCGGAAACGGAUGCUAAUACCGCAUAUCUUUUUGAACCGCAUGGUUCUUAAACGAAAGACGGCUUCGGCUGUCGCUCUUAGAUGAUCCCGCGGCGUAUUAGUUAGUUGGUGGGGUAAAGGCCUACCAAGACCAUGAUACGUAGCCGACCUGAGAGGGUGAUCGGCCACACUGGGACUGAGACACGGCCCAGACUCCUACGGGAGGCAGCAGUAGGGAAUCUUCCACAAUGGGUGAAAACCUGAUGGAGCAAUGCCGCGUGAAUGAAGAAGGUCUUCGGAUCGUAAAGUUCUGUUAUUAGAGAAGAACAAGUCAAGGAGUAACUGUCUUGACUUUGACGGUACCUAACCAGAAAGUCACGGCUAACUACGUG